AAGUCGUAACAAGGUCUCCGUUGGUGAACCAGCGGAGGGAUCAUUACAGGACUCGCAAGACCCCCGUAAACCACUGUGAACUUACCUACAACCCGUUGCCUCGGCGGGUGCUCCGGGCGCGUCUUCGGGCGCUCCGGGGCGCUCCAGCCCGCCGGCGGCCCCUAAACUCUGUCUCUGUAACGUUGGCAUCUCCGAGCAGACUAUAAACGAGUCAAAACUUUCAACAACGGAUCUCUUGGUUCUGGCAUCGAUGAAGAACGCAGCGAAAUGCGAUAAGUAAUGUGAAUUGCAGAAUUCAGUGAAUCAUCGAACCUUUGAACGCACAUUGCGCCCGCCAGUAUUCUGGCGGGCAUGCCUGUUCGAGCGUCAUUUCAACCCUCAGGCCCCCAGUGCCUGGCGUUGGGGAUCGGCGCGGCGCCCUCCGGGGCGCUGCCGUCCCCGAAAUUCAGUGGCGGUCUCGCUGUAGCCCUCCUCCGCGUAGUAGCACAACCUCGCGGCCUGGAGCUCGGCGGUGGCCAUGCCGUAAAACACCCCACUUCUGAAAGUUGACCUCGGAUCAGGUAGGAAUACCCGCUGAACUUAA
rnacentral:rRNA from 1 species